AUUGCCAUGGUUACGUUUUAUUUUUGUUUUUAUUUUUUUGAAACGGAGUCUCCCUCUGUCGCCCAGGCUGGAGGGCGUGAUGUCCGCUCACUGCAACCUCCACCUUCCGGGUUCAAACAGUUCUCCUGCCUCAGCCUCCUGAGUAGCUGGGAUUCCAGUCCUGACCUUGGAAGGAGGAUACUCACCGUGGGAGGCUGGAGCCACUGGAAAGAGGCAUGAGUCCACAUAUCCAGCAGGUGUUAUGUAAUCUGUCUGCAUAAUCCUGAGCCCAUUAUAGAAACAGGAUGACCAUAAUACAAGGUUGUGAGAGGAAGGUGUCUGGGAUCCCUUCAACCUGCCUCCCAUUCUCAUCAAAGUCAUCCCUCUGCUCACUGAGACAGAUGCAUAGCUGACUGCCUCCUUUGGAAAGGCUGAUCAGAAACUCACAGAAUGCAGCUGUUCAUCUCUCACCUGUGUGUGACCUGGAGGCCCCCUUCCCGCUUUGAGUCUUCCUGCCCUUGCUUCAAGUUGUCCCGCCUUUCCAGACUGAACCAAUGUUCUUCUUACAUAUGUUGAUUGAUGUCUCAUGUCUCCCUAAAAUGUAUAAAACGAAGCUGUGCUGCAACCACCUCGGGUGCAUGUUAUCAGGACCUCCUGGGGCAGUGUCACGGGUGCAUCCUCAACCUUGGAAAAAUAAACUUUCUAAAUUGAGACCUGUCUCAGAUUUUCGGGGUUCACGAGGUACAUAAAUAACAAGUAAGGGCAAGAAUGUGGAAAAACUGAAACCCUCAUACAUUGCUGGUGAGAAUGUAAAAUGGUGUAGCCACUUUGGAAAACAAUUUGGCAAUACUUAAAAAUGUUAAACAGUUACCACAUGAAAACUGAAGUCCACACAAAAGCUUGUACAUGAAUAUUCAUAGCAGCAUCACUCAUAA